rnacentral:rRNA from 1 species
UUUUAAAUUUAGAGUUUGAUCCUGGCUCAGGACGAACGCUGGCGGCGUGCUUAACACAUGCAAGUCGAGCGAUGAAACUUCCUUCGGGGAGUGGAUUAGCGGCGGACGGGUGAGUAACACGUGGGUAACCUGCCUCAAAGUGGGGGAUAGCCUUCCGAAAGGAAGAUUAAUACCGCAUAAUAUAAGAGAAUCGCAUGAUUUUCUUAUCAAAGAUUUAUUGCUUUGAGAUGGACCCGCGGCGCAUUAGCUAGUUGGUAAGGUAACGGCUUACCAAGGCAACGAUGCGUAGCCGACCUGAGAGGGUGAUCGGCCACAUUGGAACUGAGACACGGUCCAGACUCCUACG